rnacentral:rRNA from 1 species
UACGUAGGUGGCAAGCGUUGUCCGGAUUUACUGGGCGUAAAGAGCGCGCAGGCGGUCGUUCAAGUCGCGUGUGAAAGCCCCCGGCUCAACUGGGGAGGGUCACGCGAUACUGAUCGACUCGAAGGCAGGAGAGGGAAGUGGAAUUCCCGGUGUAGUGGUGAAAUGCGCAGAUAUCAGGAGGAACGAGCCGGUGGCGAAGGCGGGGUCUCUGGGCCGAUACUGACGCUGGAGGAGCGAAAGCGUGGGGAGCGAACAGG